AAUAUUCUCGCGUGGCACCUCUUCCCCACGAGGGGCAAAAGGCGUGAAGGGCCCUUUGGUUCCACCUUAUUCACCACUGUAACUCUGGGCUGACUCGUGUUUCUCCCAGCGACUGCAGACUCUCCUGAGAAUCAGCCUAAGGUCACUGUGUUUGGGUGAUAGUUCCUGACUGUACCAGAGUUCAGCCAAGAGGGGAAGAACUUUGAAGGGUUUGGACUUGAGGAAACAUCACAGAAAGGUGAAGAAGGCUACAGAACUCUAUCAACACUGAGCUGUGAAGCAAGGGGGAAGACUGGUGACCAGGGUUUGUGAAUUUUAAUCUUUACUCCUUUGGGAUAUGAUAUUUAUUACUACCAUCAAG